GGAUGAUGGAGCUGGACAUAUCCAGCUCAGUUAUCUGCAGAGAGCUGAACAAAGGAAAACACUAUUUCUUCUACAAAGGAGCGAGGGCAGCGCAGCCUGCGGACUCCAGUCUUCAGAACCUGCUGUAGAGCCGGACCCAUUCACUGACAGAAUCCAGUGAUCAGACACUCACACUAAGCGGUGCCAGCGCUUGCAGACCCUGGACAUCCUGAGGAGAUCGUGCAGAGGGAGGUAGAAGA